AAUCAACGCUGGCGGCGUGCCUAACACAUGCAAGUCGAACGCCAAAGCCCCGCAAGGGGUAAGUAGCGUGGCAAACGGGUGAGUAACACGUGGGCGACCUACCUCAGAGUGGGGGAUAACCUUCCGAAAGGGAGGCUAAUACCGCAUGACAUCCUAUGUUUGGAUACAUGGAGAUCAAAGCCGGGGGAUCGCAAGACCUGGCGCUUGGAGAGGGGCCCGCGUCCGAUUAGCUAGUUGGGAGGUAACGGCUCACCAAGGCUUCGAUCGGUAUCCGGCCUGAGAGGGCGGACGGACACACUGGGACUGAGACACGGCCCAGACUCCUACGGGAGGCAGCAGUGGGGAAUUGUUCGCAAUGGACGAAAGUCUGACGACGCAACGCCGCGUGGAGGAUGAAGACCU
rnacentral:rRNA from 1 species